rnacentral:rRNA from 1 species
GAUGAACGCUGGCGGCGUGCUUAACACAUGCAAGUCGAACGGUUAACACGGAGCUUGCUCUGUGGGAUCAGUGGCGAACGGGUGAGUAACACGUGAGCAACCUGCCCCUGACUCUGGGAUAAGCGCUGGAAACGGCGUCUAAUACUGGAUAUGUGACGUGACCGCAUGGUCUGCGUUUGGAAAGAUUUUUCGGUUGGGGAUGGGCUCGCGGCCUAUCAGCUUGUUUGUGAGGUAAUGGCUCACCAAGGCGUCGACGGGUAGCCGGCCUGAGAGGGUGACCGGCCAAACUGGGAUUGAGACACGGCCCAGACUCCUACGGGAGGCAGCAGUGGGGAAUAUUGCACAAUGGGCGAAAGCCUGAUGCAGCAACGCCGCGUGAGGGAUGACGGCCUUCGGGUUGUAAACCUUUUUUAGCAGGGAAGAAGCGAAAGUGACGGUACCUGCAGAAAAAGCGCCGGCUAACUACGUG